rnacentral:rRNA from 1 species
UGGGGAAUAUUGCACAAUGGGCGCAAGCCUGAUGCAGCCAUGCCGCGUGUGUGAAGAAGGCCUUCGGGUUGUAAAGCACUUUCAGCGAGGAGGAAGGGUAGUGUGUUAAUAGCACAUUGCAUUGACGUUACUCGCAGAAGAAGCACCGGCUAACUCCGUGCCAGCAGCCGCGGUAAUACGGAGGGUGCAAGCGUUAAUCGGAAUUACUGGGCGUAGAGCGCACGCAGGCGGUUUGUUAAGUCAGAUGUGAAAUCCCCGCGCUUAACGUGGGAACUGCAUUUGAAACUGGCAAGCUAGAGUCUUGUAGAGGGGGGUAGAAUUCCAGGUGUAGCGGUGAAAUGCGUAGAGAUCUGGAGGAAUACCGGUGGCGAAGGCGGCCCCCUGGACAAAGACUGACGCUCAGGUGCGAAAGCGUGGGGAGCAAACA